rnacentral:rRNA from 1 species
CACGCAGGCGGUUUGCUAAGUCCCCUGUGAAAGCCCGGGGCUCAACCCCGGAAUUGCAGAGGAUACCGGCAGACUAGAGACAGGUAGAGGCUAGCGGAAUUCCUGGUGUAGCGGUGGAAUGCGUAGAUAUCAGGAAGAACACCUGUGGCGAAGGCGGCUAGCUGGGCCUGUUCUGACGCUCAUGUGCGAAAGCGUGGGGAGCAAACA